CCUACGGGCGGCAGCAGUGAGGAAUAUUGGUCAAUGGGCGCGAGCCUGAACCAGCCAAGUAGCGUGAAGGAUGACUGCCCUACGGGUUGUAAACUUCUUUUAUAAAGGAAUAAAGUGAGGCACGUGUGCCCUUUUGUAUGUACCUUAUGAAUAAGGAUCGGCUAACUCCGUGCCAGCAGCCGCGGUAAUACGGAGGAUCCGAGCGUUAUCCGGAUUUAUUGGGUUUAAAGGGGGCGUAGAUGGGUUGUUAAGUCAGUUGUGAAAGUUUGUGGCUCAACCGUAAAAUUGCAAUUGAUACUGGAGGUCGUGAGUACAGAUGAGGGAGGCGAAAUUCGUGGUGUAGCGGUGAAAUGCUUAGAUAUCACGAAGAAUCCGAUUGCGAAGGCAGCUUACUAGACUGCCACUGACAUUGAUGCUCGAAAGUGUGGGUAUCAAACAGGAUUAGAUACCCGAGUAGUC
rnacentral:rRNA from 1 species